AAUGAACGUUGGCGGCGUGGAUUAGGCAUGCAAGUCGAGCGCGAACCCGCAAGGGGGAGAGCGGCAAACGGGGUAGUAACGGGUAGGUGACGUACCCUCGGGACGGGGAUAGCCACGGGAAACUGUGGGUAAUACCCGAGAACCUCUUAAGGCGUAAGGCCUUGAGAGCAAAGGUGUGAUUCCACCGGAGGAGCGGCAUGCUUCGUAUUAGCUAGUUGGUGAGGUAAAGGCUCACCAAGGCGACGAUGCGUAGGGGGUGUGAGAGCAUGACCCCCACCACUGGGACUGAGAUACUGCCCAGACACCUACGGGUGGCUGCAGUCGAGAAUCUUCGGCAAUGGGCGCAAGCCUGACCGAGCGACGCCGCGUGUGGGAUGAAGGCCCUUGGGUUGUAAACCACUGUCAGAGGGGAUGAAGUGUUCCGGAGCAAUCUCCGGGAUUUGACAUAGCCUCAGAGGAAGCACGGGCUAAGUUCGUGCCAGCCGCCGCCGUAAGAC
rnacentral:rRNA from 1 species